rnacentral:rRNA from 1 species
AUUGAACGCUGGCGGCAUGCUUUACACAUGCAAGUCGAACGGUAACAGGCCUUCGGGUGCUGACGAGUGGCGAACGGGUGAGUAAUGCAUCGGAACGUGCCCAGAGGUUGGGGGUAACGCAGCGAAAGCUGUGCUAAUACCUCAUGUGAUCUGAGGAUGAAAGCGGGGGACCAGGCAGCAAUGUUUGGCCUCGCGCCUUUGUAACGGCCGAUGUCGGAUUAGGUAGUUGGUGGGGUAAAGGCCUACCAAGCCGACGAUCUGUAGCUGGUCUGAGAGCACGAACAGACACACUGGGAGUGAGACACGGCCCAGACUCCUACGGUAGGCAGCAGUGGGGAAUUUUGGACAAUGGGCGCAAGCCUGAUCCAGCAAUGCCGCGUGAGGGAAGAAGGCCUUCGGGUUGUAAACCGCUUUUGUACGGAACGAAAAGGCUCUGGCUAAUACCUGGGGAUGAUGACGGUACCGGAAGAAUAAGCACCGGCUAACUACGUG